rnacentral:rRNA from 1 species
AAUAUUGGACAAUGGGCGAAAGCCUGAUCCAGCAAUGCCGCGUGAGUGAUGAAGGCCUUCGGUAUGUCCAGCUCUAUCAGCAGGGAAGAAAAUGACGGUACCUGACUAAGAAGCCCCGGCUAACUACGUGCCAGCAGCCGCGGUAAUACGUAGGGGGCAAGCGUUAUCCGGAUUUACUGGGUGUAAAGGGAGCGUAGGUGGUUUGGUAAGUCAGAUGUGAAAGCCCGGGGCUCAACCCCGGGACUGCAUUUGAAACUAUCAAACUAGAGUGCAGGAGAGGUAAGUGGAAUUCCUAGUGUAGCGGUGAAAUGCGUAGAUAUUAGGAGGAACACCAGUGGCGAAGGCGGCUUACUGGACUGUAACUGACACUGAGGCUCGAAAGCGUGGGGAGUAAACAG